UCGCAUCUGAUACUAACCUGGCAUCCAUUGUCCCAUGCUGGUCAUUGGUCUUGGGAAGCUGUGAUUUGCUGGGCUUUGAAGGUCCAAUAUUAAAGUAUACCAUGAGCUCUUCAGCUCAGUGUGUGGAGAAUGGCUAUGGGUUUUAACUCUGCACGGAA